GGGCAGGGUUACAUUGUAGAGGAUCUCUGUUUAGGUCAGGUGUGAGUAAGUACUGUGCAGGGUUACAUUGUAGAGGAUCUCUGUUUAGGUCAGGUGUGAGUAAGUACUGUGCAGGGUUACAUUGUAGAGGAUCUCUGUUUAGGUCAGGUGUGAGUAAGUACCGGGCAGGGUUACAUUGUAGAGGAUCUCUGUUUAGGUCAGGUGUGAGUAAGUACCGGGCAGGGUUACACUGUAGAAGAUCUCUGUUUAGGUCAGUUUUGAAACCCUAGAUAGGCCAACAAAGUCUGUUCAGUUAAGUUCAAUUUUCAAAUGUUUGGAAGGCUGCUAUCUUUAGAAGAACAACAGGGAUUAGCCUUUCCUAUAUUACCAUAGGUCAACAAUAUAAAUGUCUAAUUGGUCAGGUUUACAUUAGUUCAAACUUAAAAUAUUAUUCUCACAAAUAAAAAAAUUUAAGUUUUUGAAAGAAAUUUUACAUUGAGUUGAUUAAAAUAUAGCUUUAUAAAGAUAAUUAUGUUUAUAGAUUCCUAUUGUCGCUGAUAAUUAAUGAAGAUAAUGUGCUAUGUUUUGUUUUAUAUUAACGUAUUAAAAUAAUGUUAUUUAUUUAUUUAUUGAAAAUAAAAUACUUAUUUCCUUUAUGUAUAUGCUUUUUAUUAUAGACAUACUUCUUCAACACCAUUUGUAAAGAUAUACUUAAGUGUAAUUUGCAACCUAGACUAGGUUUUUCAUGAACAUGACUUUUCAUGACUGUUUACUCAUUGAUUAGAGAAUUGAUGUGAAUACUAGGAGUAAUAUUACUUAAUGUCACAAUAUUCAUUAUUAGCCCCAAAUUGCUAGAGUUGAAAUGUUACCUAAGGUACUAGCAUAGGAAAUAAAACUUGUUUAAAAUACAUAGUACAUUGAAAAAUUAAUUUAUUUUGUUAAGUAUUAAAAUAAUAUUUAAUAGCAAUACAUACCAGCUUUUAAACAUAAUAUAUGUAAUGUAGUAUUUUGAAAAGCUAUCUAUUAGGAUGGAUUUAAAAGCAAAGUACCUUAACUUUUGUCCCAUAAAAAUAUAAACAUGAAAUUUUGACAAAGUUAUUUAACAAUAUUUAAUGUUUAUAAUAUGGGUAUUUUAUUUUGGACUAUCAUUUGAUUUCUAGAAUCAAAGAUUUGGGAAGUUAUUUUUGUAUUAAUUGUUUAAUGACCUCUAAUGUAUGCAGUUAAACCCUCUGUGUGCACUGUGCUGUAGUAAUAUGUUUUAAAUGGGAAUUGUUGAGAUGAAGAAAGUAUAGUUUAUAAUAUGUUUGAGUUAGUACAUAGUACAGUUACAUACGUUAAUAGUUUGGCACUAUUCUAGAAACUGUUGUUCUAGAGGGUUUUCAGGAAAGGAAUUUCAGGGUUUUUGCACAUUUUUCUUCUGAGACAUUUACAUUUACUCAGAGGCUUAGAAUUGAUGAAUUUAUCCGUAGUUUUGACAAGAGUGAAUAAAACUCUAGGGGCAUUUUCCCAAGUUCUUCUUUGGCUUCCAGUUGUUAUCUCUGUUUCUUAUCACUUUUCUGGUUGCUCUCCCUUGAUCCUGAAGAGUGUCGUCUACAGAUGGCCAUAGCAGCUCCUUGUGUACUGUUUCUCCCGAUUCCUAAGUCAGACCUCUAGGCCUCCUCAUCCACCAGGGACGCCAGACACCUAGGGCACUAUCUCCAGCAGUUGAGACUAGUUCCUCAUCGUUGACUGGAAGACAGGUUGUUGCCUGUGACUAUUGUUCAGGAAUUUGAAGGGUGGGGAUCAUUUCGGUGUGGUGGAACCACAUUUUAGUGGAUAUGACAUUUCAACAAGGCUUUGAAAGAUAAAUGAGAGAAUUUCUGUUGUAAAUUAGGCAAAGAAGAACUUUGUAUCUAUAUGCCUUCAAUAGAUGUAGGACCAAGCAAAU